CCCAGUGUCGCCAGCCACCAGUCCACCAGACCACCACCAGGUUUCAGGCUGUCGUUGUUCGUCCUCAGCCACCAGUCCACCACCCAGUACCGUCCGUCGCCACUCGCCAGCCACCAGUCCACCACCAGGUAAGGGUUAUGUGACUUCUGUCUUCUGUACUUUGUUUUCUGAAAUUCAAUUGCUGAAUGCUGAUGUUAAUUGUGAGGUGGAGCCGUGGAGGCAGUAUCACUGUAAUUCGCAAUUGUUAAUUGUUAAAUGUGAUGUUAAUUGUUAAUUGUGAUGUUAAUUGUGAGAUGGGUUCAGCUGUCAAA